rnacentral:rRNA from 1 species
GAGGGCGUGAGCGCGUCGGCGGAGGCGAGCGGGUUGGGAGAGGGGCUGGAGAGGGAGGGCACGAUCUUGGGGGCGGAGAGAGAGUGUGUGUGAGGGACGUUUGGGAUCUUGGAGUGGGCGCGGAGGGUCGGGGCGGCAACAGCAGAAGAGCGGGUCGGCCGGCGGCAGCGUGGCGUGCGAGCACGCAUCCCCGCUCUUCCCCUUGGUGGCGGGCGAGGAGCUCGCGCUCCUCCUGCACCACUACGUCGCGGGUCUAGGUGCCGCCCUAGCUGCGCGGCAGCAAUUGUACUCGGCGGUGACAGGAGCUCCAGCCGGUACCUCCCCCCAGGCUGGGUCGACGUCGGCACCUGCCUCUGUGGGGUUUGGGAUCGUACCCCUGGCUCGGCGGUACCUUCCUCCGGUCGCCGCUCCUGCUGCGGUACCAGGGACAACACGAGGGCCUAGGCAGCGGGUAGACGGGACUGGACCGGGAAGAGGAAGGGCAGCCGGUUCGCCUCGGCGAGCACAGCGACGAGAUGGACUGCUCCCGCAGCACCACUCCAACGGCAACGACAAACAUCUCUGUAAACUCCUAUCCAGUGCAACGAAGUAGCACGUCCAUGACCGGCCCGAACCGUACCUAACCACAGGGCCCGCAACCAACGUCCAAAGAACGGAUAAGUCCAUCCGGCCAGUGGAGGUGGUACUGUUCUUCCUGUGGAACAGGGUCAUCCCAGCCGUGUGAGGCGAGGUGAUUUUAAUGUCCUAGCCUACGGCACAGGCCCCUCUUAACCACGUGACCUCGUUUGCUAAGUCCCCACACGUCUAUUCAACCUAUACCCUUUUCAUCCGAACUGUAACUCUUCCGCUUCACAUACGUCCUUCUACAGAUGCCUACGAGACCCUUCGGUUACAUCACCGACUUGUUCUGACCCUAGUACAAAUGCUAUGUAAAAGGUAGCUAUGUCUCCCGUCACGAAUGUUUUUCUCCUCCGUUCGACUUCUCCUUCCAACCUUCUUCCUCUCGUUGGCACGCAUCAAGACUGACGGAGAAGGUGGACAGCGAUUCACAGUAUCCGUUCUCCUGGUUCACGCCCGCCCACUCGUAGUCCUCAGAUCGACCAGCCGAAGUCGGAAACUCCACAACAUCCGAUCGCCACGGCGAAGGCUCGUAGAGGAGUGGGGAACGAGGACACCGGGGAAGUUAUCCAGUCUGGGGGAGAGAGAGUUCUGAAACGACUAAUUUAUAUAUUAUUGUUUAUUAAUAGUAUGUAACUCGAUAUAAACCAAGGGAUAUCUUCCUUUUUACGCGGAAAACACAUUAACACCACUAGUUAAAAUUCGAAAGGACGAAAAUGGAAUCAGAACGAGUUAUACCACAAUGUGAAGCUUUCAUUUAUUAUCCUUUACACAUUGGUACCACUAGUUAAAAUUAAAAUAACAGACUUAAACAAUACAUCUUCAUCUAGAAACUCGACAACCACAGCUACCAAAGAUACUUUCGUUUAUUAUCCUUUUCAACGUAAAAGUACAGGAUAGGUCUACCAAUCAAGAGACUACUGUACGAAAUUCAUACCAGACACGAGAGAAGGAGGUAGGGUACAUACACUAACUACAGCGGGAAACUAACAAACCACAACCUCAGAGAGACAUAUUAGUGUCACGGAGAAACGAAUUAGACGACUGCAUACGAUAAAUGUCAAGGAAGGGGUCGAGGAUUGCCUAGAAAUCUCAAUGAUAAAUAAUCAUAAAACACGAUGUUGUAUUAAUCACGGGCUGUUUGGGACAAAUGGAAGAAUAGAGUGAUAACAGACAACAGUAGGAAAAUACGUAAUAUUGGGUCGAACUAUAUAAGCGACGUUGUAUUAUAAGGGGAACCCAAUAACUUAGCAAAACGAGAUAUGUAGGGUUUUUUUGUGUCUGAUAAACGUAAUGUACCAAAACGAUGGAGAAUACUUUAACGUAAGCGACACAAUACGCCUUUUGAAUGAAGCCGGUGAGAAUACUCACAUAUAAAAGUCAAAGUCCAAAAAGAAACAUAAUGAGGAUCCUUUUGAGCGACUUAAAAAGGGACACUCGGACCGUGUAACAAAUUAUUGACCAUAUCGAAGUAUUGACAAUAUGGGAAGACUAGAAAAGGAAAAGAAUACAGUCGAUUGGUCACUCCUAUAUAUAUUUUUCCUAUGGUGGUUAUCGUAUCGCGGGACGACGACAUUAAUGUACAUACAUAUUUAAGAUACCAUUGAAAUCCAAGAAGGGAAUACCGGAAAGGAGAUUAGUAUUCUCCAUGUUUCCUCUACGUAAAAUACUUUGACCUUAUAAAAUCAAGAGGACGACCACAGGCACGAAAAAAAUUAGAGUGUACCGAAUGAACGAUAGAUUCACAAGAGUAAUUUGAAAGAGAUAUCUUUCGAACGAUUUCAACAUUGGCUUGUUUUCGUUCCGAGAGAACUGUGUGAUAGAAAUGUGUGUCUCUCUUCGAUCUGAGGGUUGGAUCGUACGAGGGAUAUUAAUGUUGGCUUGUCUUCGUUCCGAGUGGGUGUAUAGUACUGAGUAAUAUAUCAAGUAAACAAACUUAUGUUUAGAUCUUAAAACAUUUGGUAACACUAUCGAUCUCGUAUCAGUUCCGCAACCACACAGUGAUACACAUAACUAUUUACUUCUUUUUUUUAAGAUUGACCAGCCACCUCCGUUCUGUCUCCACUCUUCAACCCAUACAGCACGACGUUGAUCGACGAAUUAAGUAAAGACUAUGUAGUACCAAACAGUAAAAAGCAACGUCCGUGGUCAAAGUAUAUUAAUAUCAACGUUGAUUAUUCUAGUAACUAAAAUUGCUCCAGGUAUUCUAUUAUUACAGAGAUAACUCUACGCGUUACUUUGUAGCUUCCUGGGAUAGGAAAACAAACACCUACGUGCUUCAUUACUACACACCGAUACCCCCGCAGAGAAACCUACAAGAUUCCGUCAAAGGGCACAGAGACGAUCGAGGCUAAGACAACGUGGUAUAACAGGCUGUAAAUAAAUAAAUACACAAACUGGGUACACCAAUCAAUUACAACACUACAACAGCUUCCUGUUCGUCUACAACGUCAGACAUACGAUGGGAUACAUGGGAGAAGCAGUACCUGUCACGACUCCUAAUUAUGUCUGAAUAUACAUUAACCGGCCACGAACGAAAUGAAUUCUACAGGCGACAAGAUAAAGACUAAAGAACGAACCAGCACCUCUACAAAUGGUAUAACAUCAAUUUCAAAGACUACAUGUGUACAAGGUCGGUGUUUGUACCUUAUUUCAACAUGGAUGUUUC